rnacentral:rRNA from 1 species
CCUGAUCUAGCCAUGCCGCGUGAGUGAAGAAGGUCUUAGGAUCGUAAAGCUCUUUCGCCAGGGAUGAUAAUGACAGUACCUGGUAAAGAAACCCCGGCUAACUCCGUGCCAGCAGCCGCGGUAAUACGGAGGGGGUUAGCGUUGUUCGGAAUUACUGGGCGUAAAGCGCGCGUAGGCGGAUCAGAAAGUUGGGGGUGAAAUCCCAGGGCUCAACCCUGGAACUGCCUCCAAAACUCCUGGUCUUGAGUUCGAGAGAGGUGAGUGGAACUCCGAGUGUAGAGGUGAAAUUCGUAGAUAUUCGGAAGAACACCAGUGGCGAAGGCGGCUCACUGGCUCGAUACUGACGCUGAGGUGCGAAAGUGUGGGGAGCAAACAGGAUUAGAUACCCUGGUAGUCCACACCGUAAACGAUGAAUGCCAGUCGUCGGGUAGUAUACUAUUCGGUGACACACCUAACGGAUUAAGCAUUCCGCCUGGGGAGUACGGUCGCAAGAUUAAAACUCAA